GUCCACACCGCAAGAGCAUCCCCAAUCCAGCCUGCCGCCCCUGCAUCCACCCAGAACCACCGCCCCCAUCCUCUUUAUCCACGCCACAGGAGAAUCCCCCAAUCCAGCCGGCUGCACCAGCAUCACGCAAUCCAGCGCCGCCGCCUCAACCCCUCCAUCACCCCACAUAGCUGUCCCAGUGUACAGGCAAAGCUAAAUUAAAAAGAUCUCAGCUUUGUGGGCUAUACAUACAAAAACUUUGAUGCUGUGAAAAGAUUAAAACAUGCAGAUAUGCAAAGGAGCUCAUCACUAAAAAGGCCCUCUAUUGGUGCUAUAUUCCCCAAGAACAACGCCUCCCGAUAUCCUUCGCCAUCCUCGCCCCUGGUUCACCUCCUCUGCCACCUACUCGUCAACUGAUCAGCAGGAGCAGCAAUAGCCUGAGAGUCGCAGAUAGAGGAACCAGCCUAAACCAGACUUUAAGGACAAGUUUAAGAUCUAGGUUGGGAAGUGAAGAAGGUAUCAAGCUGCAGCCAUCAAUAAUUGAACAAGUGCCACUUGCAGCUUCUGGAAAAAGAAUGGCAAACGGAGGAGAAAGGGCUAAUACUACUUCAUAUGAAGAAGCGCGGGCAGAGACUCUAAGGCUGAACAUAGGGAAGUUGCAUCAAUUAAUUCCAAGACUUGCAGAGAAGUCUUCGCAUGAGCAAAACAACAAGACAAAGAAAAGGCAACACACAUCUAGUCAGCCAGCUCUUGAAAUGCCUAGACGCAUACUAAGAUCGGACACCGCUAGAGCUGAUUCUAGGCAUGAUGAUGAAGACAUGCGAGAUGCUGCAUUAGAAGAGAAUGAAGAUGAUGUUAAUGCAGUGACACAACAUGAUGGUGGUCAACAACAGAAGAAGCAUGGACGCAGCUAUACUAGAAAGGCCGAUAUACGCUUAAGAGGGAACUAGCCACCAAUUAGGCUAGAGAUCAAUGAGAAGGGACAACCUGUGGGGGACAAUGCCACCGAGUUUGCAAAUUUUAUAGCCACACUGGUUAAAAAUAGUGAGAUAGUAUCACUUGCCAAACCUGACUGGAGGUUGGUUGAGCCAAAGCAAAAGCUUUUAUUGUGGAAUACUUUGAAGUUGUACUAUGAAGUGGAUGAAAGAGUUAAAGACUGGGUCAUGGGAAGUGCUGCUAAGAAAUGGAGAGAUUUCAAAUCAGAUCUGAAGGCUUUGUAUUUUCAUGAAGAAAAGACUGACGAGGAGCUCCUUGCUGAUUGUGAUGCUAGAGUUCAUGAAGAUGAUUGGAAAUGGCUUAUUGACCAUUGGAGAACUGAUGCAGCUAAGCAACGUUGUGAGAUAGGGAAGUUAAAUCGCCAAGGGAUGACCUUGUUUCAUACAACCGGCAGCAAGAGUCAUGCACGUGUUAUUGAAGAAGAGCACAAGAAGAAUGGAUAUCCCCCACGUAGAGAUGAAGAGUUUGUUAUAACACACACUACUAAAAAAGGAGUUCCUUCCAAUGCGGCAGCGGCACAAAAAAUUAAAGAGCUAGAGAACAAAGCAAAUGAACAACCAGAAUUGUUAGAAAAAACCAUAGAGCAAGGCGAUCUUUUUUCGCAUGUAUUUGGAAAGGAGAGGAAUGGAUAUGUUCGCUGUAUAGGCAUGGGGCCAAGUGCAUCAGAUCUACGCAUGCCUGGAACUAGAAAAUUGAAAUCAACAAGGCUCCAACUGGCUGAGGAAGAAUGUCGACAAGCUAUGGAAGAGGCUGCACUUUUAAGGGAGCGUGUGGAAGCAACCGAUCGAAAAUGGACAUUGUUAUGAACGAAGUCCUAGAGAUGAAAAAGAUGAUGUUAACUUCUCAGGCUAAAGAAAAGGAGCAAUUCAGUCCACACUAUGAUUCCAAUUCUGCACAAGACGAGUAUAUUUAUGAUGAAGGCGAAAAUAGUGAGACUGGGUACAUGGCUGCUGAAAAGGAGGAUGAUCACGUGAUGUCAAAUAGACCAAUGGUAGAAAGUCAACCAAAACUCACACAACAGAAGAACCAAGUGUUGGUCCAACAGAUGAAUCAACAACUAGAUCAUCAAAACACAACCGUCACUCAAAAGACUCCCCAAGAUGUCAUAUUGUACUCUAUCUCCCGCCCUUAUAACAUACCGGUGGCGAAGGCCACUAUUCAGUCAAUUGAUAGGACGAAGAUAGUGGCGGGUGCCGAACUUGGAUCUCAAUGUUCUGAAGUCGUAGUUAAAAUGGUGAUGAAAAAGGAUGCUAUUUUGCAACGCCCUUAUGGGAAUGUGAGGACCAUGGUGAAUGCUCUCAGGCGAUCUAUUGCAUGGCCUCGUAGAUAUAUUGAGGUUGUUCGUAAAGUUAUGCAGAAGCAACCAUGACAACCCAUAGCAGUCCACACAUCUUGAAGGUCACCGGCAUAAUGCCUUUGCAUCCCGAAAUGCGGUGUGUUUGGUGAGCUAAAAGGAUCUUCUGCUGGGAUAUGUUUACACCUAAAACCAGAUUGUAUAUUUUGCGCUUUUGUCUAUGAUGUACUACUUUGAGUUGUGAACCUACAACUGUACGCAUGUGUGCAUGUAGACCUGAUGGAUAGUUGUGCUUUUGGCUGUCUUGUUACUGGACUUGUAUGCCUGUGUGUGCAUGUAGGCACACAUAAUGGAUCUUUGUGCUAGCUUUUAGUUUCCUGGA